GGAUUGGAGGGCCCAGGGGUUGAAGCGAUAAGGGAGCCUGGCUUGAUGGCCGGAAUGGACCGGGGGAGAGGGGUGGUGAUCUUAGAUGGUGCCGGGGAGCUGGGACCCAAGCCCGAGCACGACCCCCCCUCUUCCCUCCUCCUGCCCGGGCGCGGGGCUCCAGGCUUGCUAUUCAGGCGCCUCUCCAGCACCUCGCUGGGUCCCAGGGUCUGGGUUUCACCCUGUGGCUGCUCCGGGAUCCUCCAACCCGGAGGGGAGACAGCAGCAUCCAGCGAGCCCCGCAGCCCUGCAGGGGAGUUGCGUUUCCAGGUGAAACGCAGAGAGGGACUUAUUCUCCGCAAGAGGCAGCGUUUGAGGACCGAGUACCCCAUGCAGCGCAACCUGACCCUAACCCCCGGAGGAUCCGGAGAAAGGCUUCCGGGGCUCUGGGCGCUGCAGGGUGCCCAGGAGCCGCUGAAGUGUAUCAAGUGGGGGGCGCACACCCUUCCCCGCCGGCCUCGGGCCUCAGUGUCGAGGCUGAGUGCUCUCUGCUGGCCUAGUCAUGUCCUGCUCUGUGCCCCAAGGUGGGGAAGAGAAGGCCUAGUCCUCCCGACUUACUGGAUUUUGCUCGUUACGCAGCUCGCUACCAAUCAGAGCUUUAUCAGGAAAUCCACCCGCAAGGAGAUAGGAGGCAAAGCUCUCAAAUCUGUCUCCUUGAUCCAGGGUUCAGGGGGAAAUUAUAGGGUUUAGGGAAAUUUCCAACUUGGAUGCUGAUUGACGGUCUUGAUUUAGUCCAUAUAAGCUACUACUGAUCCUGGAAGCCAGAUUUUCCUUAUUGAAGGGCUUCUCGCUUUUUAAAGGGCUCUGGUGGCAUCAUUUCUAUUCUUUGAGUUCUGUAGACUAAAAUUCUCUGUUCCAGGGUCAUCCUGGAGACAAGGGUUCCCGUCUUGCACACGGAGCAGUGCUGUUUCUUUAAAAUAAUUCAGGUUUGAUUAAUCUAUCAACCUGUCUAAGGAGGUAAAACCAGUUUAAGCUAGUGCUGUUUCAACAACCUAUUUAAGGAGGCAAAACCAAUUUAAGCUUGGGCUGUUUCACAUGCUGUUUCACCCUCAUGGCUCCAUCAGGGAGGUCCUGGAGGGCAAGUUCCCCCUGAGGUGCUUAUCUUUCACUUCAGUGACCUGGCUUUAGGAUGAGGAGUGUCUGAGCCAGAGCACCGCAAGAGCCUGGGACCGUCCUGCCCAGUGGGGAUAGGACCAGCAGAUCCCCCUGGGCAGAAGUGGAGACCAAUCUGCUACAGGGAACUUCUGAGGCUUCCUGUGAUGUUCUGACUCGAAGCUCAGGUGCAGCGGAGGAAAUUGACAGGAAGCUGAGGCCUGUGGACCACAGACCAGGAAGGGCCUUCGCACCCACCCUGCAUUUCCAAGGAGUGAACUGAGCUUUUGGCUGCCCUUAUGUUUUCUAUUCAGUGAUGGUGGGCCUGUAAGACUGAAAAUGACACUUCCCUGAUGCUUCUGCAAGCUGGAUUCCGGUUAGGCACUGCCUAUUGGGAAGCACUGGCAGGAGACUGGAAGGAAGGAGGGGCGGGGGAGUCUCCUGCUGAUUUCCAGCCCCUGCAUGUCUCUCUCCGGAGGUCUUUAGGCACUCUGAUCCCCAGCCCCAGGAUGCCCUUUCAGGAUCCAAAUCACUAGCUGUGAAGUUGUCCUUUUCAAAGGUCCAAUACCAAUCAAGUGGUACCCUUUCGAGUAGGGUUGCCAGGACUCCUCUAUAUGACAUGUCUUGUGUUUAAUGAUUGUGCUCUGUAUUCUGUACUGACUUUGCCCCAAUGCCUUCAAUGCCCUCUAGACAGCUUUUCUUUUCCAAUAAAUUACCAAGUAUCA